rfam:Echinostoma caproni strain Egypt genome assembly, scaffold: ECPE_scaffold0008511
GGCCUCGUAGCUCAGCUGGUAGAGCUUGCGCUGUAGAAAAGCGUAGGCGGCGUCCAUGCGUGGGUUUGAAUCUCACUAAGACUA